rnacentral:rRNA from 1 species
UGAGGAACAUGACUUUCGGCGGGGGAUAGCCGGCCCAACGGCCGGGUAAUACCGCGUACGACCUUUUGGGGACAUCCCUGAUUGGUGAAAGCAGCAAUGCGCCGAAAGAGUGCCUCGCGGCCUAUCAGCUAGUUGGUGGGGUAAUGGCUCACCAAGGCGACGACGGGUAGCUGGUCUGAGAGGAUGGCCAGCCACAUUGGGACUGAGACACGGCCCAGACUCCUACGGGAGG